UCGAUUAGAUACCCCCGUAGUCCUAGCCGUAAACGAUGCUCGCUAGGUGUCAGUCACGGUGCGACCGUGAUUGGUGCCGUAGGGAAGCCGUGAAGCGAGCCACCUGGGAAGUAUGGCCGCAAGGCUGAAACUUAAAGGAAUUGGCGGGGGAGCACUACAACGGGUGGAGCCUGCGGUUUAAUUGGAUUCAACGCCGGAAAUCUCACCGGGGGCGACAGCGAUAUGAAGGUCAGGCUGAAGACUUUACCGGAUUAGCUGAGAGGUGGUGCAUGGCA
rnacentral:rRNA from 1 species